GACGGGGCCCGCACAAGCGGUGGAGCAUGUGGUUUAACUCGACGCAACGCGAAGAACCUUACCUGGGCUUGACAUCCCGAUCGUACCUGCUGGAAACAGCGGGGUCAGUUCGGCUGGAUCGGAGACAGGUGCUGCAUGGCUGUCGUCAGCUCGUGUCGUGAGAUGUUGGGUUAAGUCCCGCAACGAGCGCAACCCUUGUCUUUAGUUGCCAUCAUUCAGUUGGGCACUCUAAAGAGACUGCCGGUGUCAAACCGGAGGAAGGUGGGGAUGACGUCAAGUCCUCAUGGCCUUUAUGACCAGGGCUACACACGUACUACAAUGGCCGGUACAAAGGGCAGCCACUUAGCGAUAAGGAGCCAAUCCUGUAAAGCCGGUCUCAGUCCGGAUUGGAGUCUGCAACUCGACUCCAUGAAGUUGGAAUCGCUAGUAAUCGCAGAUCAGCACGCUGCGGUGAAUACGUUCCCGGGCCUU
rnacentral:rRNA from 1 species